rnacentral:misc_RNA from 1 species
CUGCGGUGGGCAGACGUGGUGGAGGAGGGGGAGAUCUCUCCGCCGUGCGCCCCCGCCUCGUACCGGGGCGCCCUGCUUUGCGCUCCUGCCAAGAACGACCGGGGGGCCGGGACUUCCGCGGCGCAGAGUCGCUCCUCAUCUCCAGCUGCGGCGCCUAGGCUACGCUCCAUCGUCGUCCGUCCUCGUGAGCCGACCCGGUCGCGCUCCGCUGCGCGCCGCGAGAUGCGUCGUCCAAGCGCGGCUGCUCCACGUGGGCACCGUCGCCGCGGCCGUGUCUCCCCUCCUGACCACGAUGGUUGGCGGCGCGUGCUGCCACAGCAGCGUUGUUCUCCUCCAGCGUGGCCUGGCGGCUCCUCCGCCGCGGUCCGUUCGGCGCGCCCGCCCGCGUGCCUCGAGGGUAAGUGCCUGAACUGCCUUUCCUCCUCCCACCGCGUCGCCACCUGCCGACUUCCGCCUCGCUGCCUCCACUGUCGUGGGUUCCGUCACCUGGCUCGGGACUGCAAGAGGCCGCGCAGGGCGUCCGGCGCCGGCGCCGGGCUGGCGGGGGCUGGGGCGCCGCGGAGGUUUGUGCACGCUCGUCGGGAGGGUUCUUCCACCCCCUGUGGCUCCAACGCGAAGGGCUUCACUCCUCCUUCGUCACCUAACCUCCCUCACCGGGUGGCCGACGGUAGUGCGGCCACGGGCCUGCUGCCCGGCCACCAUCUGCUGCGCCCCUCCGUGGCGGUGUGCUUCAUCGACCGUAGCGACGACAUAUCUGGCGAGGAGGACUCUCUGGCCACCUCUCUGCUGGUGCGCGCUGGGAACGGGCGGCGGGACAUCCCCAUCGCCGAGGCGCGGCGGGCCUUCUUGGCGUUGCCCGGGGUGCGCGCGGGCGACUUCGAGCUCAGACCUUCCCACCCCGACAACUUCCUCCUUCUCCCUGCUUCGGCGGGUGUCCGCGACCUGCUGCUCGGUGCCCGUCCUGUGGUGGUGCAUGGUACCACGCUGGUACUCCAUCCAUGGACGCGGCUCGCGCACGCAACUCGCGUCGAGUUGUUCUUCAAGGUGAAGCUGGAGAUCGUGGGGAUCCCUCCCCACGCGUGGUCGCGUGACACCGCCUCCAAGAUCCUGGCUCCGGCGUGCUGGAUCGAGAAGGUGGACGCGGCGUCGGCCGACAAGACGGACCAGUCGUUCUUCGGCGUCACUGCCUGGACGAACGACCCCAGCGCCAUCCCCCGUUCUGUUUCGCUGCUCAUCGCAGAGAACGAGCUGCGGGUGGUGCAUUCUGACGAGGUCUUGCAUCUCAUUUUCGACCACCUGCCCUCGUAUCUGAGGAAGAAGGUGACGCUCAAGUACGGUGUUAUGGUCCACCUGCGGGAGGUGGAGGACCUCGCUCCAUGCUCAUCUUCGUCAUCUUCGUCGCCCUCUCCGUCGAGCUCUGACGACGACAGCGGUCUCGGGGAGAACCCCGGCCGGCGUUUUCUCUCCUCCGGUCGCGGUUGGGGCUCUCGACGUUGGCGCUUUCCCUGCAGUCGUGGAGUGCCGGACGGUGGUUCGGCGUCCGGCGGUGCCGGCCCGCCGGCCAACGGCGGCGUGGGCGAGAACGCUGGCGGGGCUCGUGAGCUGUCCGCGUCUGGGGAGCUGGCGGGGCAGGGGUCAAAGGCUGUCGCCCUGUCCUCGGACCAACCGGUCGUGGGGGCAUCCCGUGAUGGUCCUUGUUUCCCUUCUGGUGAUUCAUGGGAGGCUGUGUUCCUCGAAAGUUUGGUCUCCCAUUCUCCUUCCGGUUUGUCUACGCUGGAAUCCGGGGCUGCCCUACUGCUCGACCCCAUGCUGGAUGAAGCUGGUCAGAGGCACGUGACCGCGCUUCCGGUGUGCCUUCCUGAGACUGUUGACGUGCCGGACAGGGAUGCGUCCCACGAGUUGUCGCCUUCUCUCGGGGAGCCGUUGGCCUCCUCGCUCGAGCCGUGCACAGGCGUUGAUACUUUGGUCCUAGGGCCGACGUCGGCUGCUGGCCUCGUGGGGGAGGCUGCUGGCGUGUCCGUGGACGUGGGCGUCGGAGGUGGGGCGGUCUCUUCUGGAGCCCGUCCCGCGUCUGAAACCAGGCCUGCGGACCUGGGUGGCGCACCGGCUCAGGAGUGCGCGCUGCGCUCGUUCAUCGACUCGAUCCAGGCCACGCCGCGUCCGCUGCUUGGCGCGCCGCCUUUGGUGGCCCCGGCCACGAUAGUUGUCACGGGCAGGGGGCAGCCCAUCCUUCCCCCGCGGAGCAGGCGCAUCGCCGCUCAGCAGCUGGCUGGGGUACCGGUCUACAAGCGUGGCAAAGUUCUUCUCAUGCGGAAGUUUGGUAUUCUCAAAGACGGGGCACCAGUGACCGCCGUGGCCAAGGAUCUGUACGACAGCUUGUACCGGUCCAAGCUGAAACCGGAGCACAUCAAUGCCAUUCGUGAGUUGUUUCCCGACCGCGGGUCCGGCACCAGCACUUGGCCUGGGGACGUCGUCGACGCUUGCUCCGAGGACGGGGCACCGACGCUGGAGGACGCGGUGUGA